UGGUUCUGGCAUCGAUGAAGAACGCAGCGAAAUGCGAUAAGUAAUGCGAAUUGCAGAAUUUCGGGAGUCAUCGAAUCUUUGAACGCACAUUGCGCCCUUUGGUAUUCCGAGGGGCAUACCUGUUCGAGCGUCAUUAUCGCCUUCCAAGCACGGCUUGACUUUGGGCUACAUCGUUGAGAUUAGCCCCAAACUCAACGGCAGGGUUGUAAAUCCGAGCGAAGACGCGACGAAUCCGCUCUUUGUCAAGAAUAUAGCCCUUGUUCAACAAAAAAAUUCAAUGAUUGACCUCGGAUCAGGUAGGAUUACCCGCUGA
rnacentral:misc_RNA from 1 species